CAUUUCCUUAUAUGUGAAAGAGGAGCAUAUAUGGCAAAGAUUUUGUUGUACAAGUCAUGACUUGCAAAACCCAGGUUCCUCCUAAUCUUUUCAGGCAUCUUUUUUUCCUUGUCCCUUUCCCAUUCACCUAUGUCCCAUAUCUGGGCUAUCACACAAUCUGCUUGCACAGUGAACUAUCAGGAAGAGUUCAUUCAGAUGUCAGAAAAUCCACUUGCAGCAUGCAUCCUUCCACCUGGAGGGCGCCUGAUGGGACCUCAUUCUCUUAUAUCCUGUUCAUCUCUGAAAAAGGAAAUGGAUACUCAAAGCACAUUGGCGAUGGCUGAAGACCAGGCAUCGGCAGUGGGAGGAGCUGAACCUGUGAGCCUCUCAGGAUAUACUAUCUCUUAAUUCCUCCAGAUACCUCCAUUUAACCCACAGAAGCCUGCAGGGUCCAGCCCUUAUUUUGAAUUUUUUGUCACUGACAAGGUGGAGUUGGCUAGCACUGG
ensembl:lncRNA